rnacentral:rRNA from 1 species
AACGAACGGCUGGCGGCAGGCCUAACACAUGCAAGUCGAGCGCACCUUCGGGUGAGCGGCGGACGGGUUAGUAACGCGUGGGAACGUGCCCUUUUCUACGGAAUAGCCUUUGGAAACGAAGAGUAAUACCGUAUACGCCCUUUGGGGGAAAGAUUUAUCGGAGAAGGAUCGGCCCGCGUUAGAUUAGAUAGUUGGUGGGGUAACGGCCUACCAAGUCUACGAUCUAUAGCUGGUUUUAGAGGAUGAUCAGCAACACUGGGACUGAGACACGGCCCAGACUCCUACGGGAGGCAGCAGUGGGGAAUCUUAGACAAUGGGCGCAAGCCUGAUCUAGCCAUGCCGCGUGAGUGAUGAAGGCCUUAGGGUCGUAAAGCUCUUUCGCCUGUGAUGAUAAUGACAGUAGCAGGUAAAGAAACCCCGGCUAACUCCGUGCCAGCAGCCGCGGUAAUACGGAGGGGGUUAGCGUUGUUCGGAAUUACUGGGCGUAAAGCGCACGUAGGCGGAUUGGAAAGUUGGGGGUGAAAUCCCGGGGCUCAACCCCGGAACUGCCUCCAAAACUAUCAGUCUAGAGUUCGAGAGAGGUGAGUGGAAUUCCAAGUGUAGAGGUGAAAUUCGUAGAUAUUUGGAGGAACACCAGUGGCGAAGGCGGCUCACUGGCUCGAUACUGA